rnacentral:rRNA from 1 species
GAUGAACGCUAGCGGCAGGCUUAACACAUGCAAGUCGAGGGGUAUAGGUUUUCGGACCUAGAGACCAGCGCACGGGUGCGUAACGCGUAUGCAAUCUACCUUUCACAGAGGGAUAGCCCAGAGAAAUUUGGAUUAAUACCUCAUAGUAUAGCAGUUUCGCAUGAAACCACUAUUAAAGUUCCAACGGUGAAAGAUGGGCAUGCGUCCCAUUAGCUAGAUGGUAAGGUAACGGCUUACCAUGGCUACGAUGGGUAGGGGUCCUGAGAGGGAGAUCCCCCACACUGGUAAUGAGACACGGACCAGACUCCUACGGGAGGCAGCAGUGAGGAAUAUUGGUCAAUGGACGCAAGUCUGAACCAGCCAUGCCGCGUGCAGGAUGACGGUCCUAUGGAUUGUAAACUGCUUUUGUACGAGAAGAAACAACAUUACGUGUAAUGUCUUGACGGUAUCGUAAGAAUAAGGAUCGGCUAUCUCCGUGCCAGCAGCCGCCGUAACAC